GGUCUGGAGAGCCUACAGCGUUGGCAGGUCCUCCAGAUGUUUUCCUAUCGUCUUAUUCGGGAAAUGUAGCCUUUUAAGGAAAUAUACUGUAUGUUCCAAUUACAUGACCUAAGCACACUGAGCACUAGUAGGUCUUUUUAAAGUUUACAUUCUUAUGGUUAAAUCUCGUUUUAAUUUGAACUAAUGUUAAUACAUCAAAUGGUCUACAGUAGACUACAACAUUUUCGAGCAGCGCCCUACUGCGCCCAGUUAUUUUCUCCAAUAGCAUGUAAGAAGUAGGCUAUACGACUUAGAGCUCACAUUUAUGUGUAAUAGUUUUGCAAAUAUUACACAUUUUUCACUGUGGGAAAUCGGUGCUGCUCGGGUAGAUUUCCGCAAACAUCCGUCCAUGUUUAGCGAGGAAAUGCACAGCACAAUAUAAUAAUAACAUUUAGCUAGUGCAUGAGGUUUAAAGUUAAAGUUUUAUAUUUAACCUGCUGUCCAUAGAUGCAGCUGGUAUUUACAGUAAAUACUAGUCUACUGUAGGCUAUCGUGGUCCUACAUGAAUCAGAAGCUUAGAGGGCGGGUCUAGUCCGAUUAAAUUACAUUUUAACGCAGUAGCCAGACACAGCGACAAAGAAAUAGGCGAGGCUCAUUCGCCAUUACUAAGAAAGUAUCGCCUGUAAACAAUAGCCUAUACAAAAAAAAUACAUCCACUCCAGCCCCAAACAUCUGGAAAGAAAGUGCCGUUGGAGACGAAAUAACCCUGCAGCCAAGAAGAUGUUGGGGGUGGCCGAAGAAAUGACCAAUGGCAACGGAAAUAAUGAAUUAUAUCUGGGAAGCAAGCAAGUAAAUCUCAAGGACAGUACUCCACUGUGUCAGUGUUGCAGUCAGCCAGCCAGAAGGUGGUGGGCGGCCGACACCCCAGCUACCCUGCCAGCUACCCUGCCAGCUACCCUGCCAGCUACCCUGCCAGCUACCCUGCCAGCUACCCUGCCAGCUACUCUGCCAGCUACCCUGCCAGCUACCCUGCCAGCUACCCUGCCAGCUACCCUGCCAGCUACCCUGCCCAACUUACUGCUGAGAGUUAGAAUAGUAGAAUACACACAGUACAUUUUUUGGUUGUGCAUUAGGAGUUUUUCUGUUAUUAUGUCAGUCCCUGACAGCCACUCAAUUUGCCCAUGUCAGCUAAACAUUUUUAGAUUGGUAAGUUAGUCUAGCCAGCUAGACUAACUUAGGGCCCCCAAAAGGCUAGGGCCAUCUCUGACUGCAUGUGUGGAUAUGGAUGUGGGUACACAGACCCGCGAGCCACUGCGGCCAUGAGUUCAGAUUUUUUGUGGCCCCCACCCCAUCAAAGUUGCCCAUCCCUGAUUUAGAGGAACCUGAGGGGAGGUUUGUGUGUUUGUGUGUUUGUGUGUGUGUUUGUGUGUGUGUGUGUGUGUGUGUNNNNNNNNNNCACACACACACACACACACACACACACACACACACACACACACACACACACACAAACUUCCCUCUCUCACUGUAUUAGCCAAUAACAUCCUCUGAGUAAGAGGAACAAUAUCAGGUUAUAGCAUAUUCUCAUAAUAUUCUGUGGGCAGACUCAACACACCUCAGCACUGAGUAAAAGGUAAGUAUACCACUUCAUUACAUUUCAUUCAUCUUAAUUUUGGACAGUUGUUUUUUCCCUGUGUCUGUGUGGGUCAUUGUUUAGUUGCUGUAGGCCUAUACCUUCAAAUGUUUUAGCCAGUCUAGUCCUCUGCUACACCAGGACCUGCCUGUGUCUCUGGUUCUCUCUCUUUUGCUCCUCUCUCUGUCUGUGUGUUUGUUUGUCUCUAGUUUGUGAUGACUGUUAUUUUCUGUUAAUGUCACAGGUCCUUGUGAUAUCACCUUCUGCAGAUCUUCUGCAGAUGUUUGAUUGGGUUGCUCUCAUGUUGGUGUAGAGAUUGACAUCGGUCUGAUAUGGGUGGGGUUAGGGAUUGUGAUAUUGUCUGCAGUAGCACGCAUGCACACAAGCAUGCACGCACAUAUACAAACACACACACACACACACAAUAAAGUCCCAACGAAGCUUGCACAUUUUGUUCCUUGGAAGCUGUGGGAACUAAAGUUUUUGGUUUCCCAUUGGUUUUGGAAACGAAACCAUACGUUUCCAGACCGGUAAAACUGAAAAUGUUUUAAACAUUCAGAGAAUGGAAGUGAACAUUUGACCUGUUCUAGGAACGUUAAUCUUUAGCUUGCAGGGAGGUUCUGAGAACUUUUUACUAUGGUUCCUUUAAAGUUUUCCUGGCAGGUUAUAUUAACUUUCUGAGAACGGAAAUUAUAGUUUAUUUUAUGGUAAUUAAAUAACAUUCUGAGAACAUGUUUCAACAAGAAUUUUAAUAACAGUGCUAGCUUAGGUUAACUGUUUUGAACUCCAAGCACAGAUAGGACCCAUGGAAAUAAAUUAGCUUAGGCAUUAAUCAUGCAAACAUAUUUAUUUUGUGACAUGGUGUCAGUGAGAUUCAAACCUAUGAUCUCCUGUUCUCUAUCCAUAGAAUUAGUCCACUGUGCCACCAGGAUGGAGCUUGCACCUGAUGUUAUUUUUAACUCAUACAAAACCGUUCAUUUUAGUCUAUUCAAACAGACCCCAUUUCAAAGGAAACAAACACUCAUUUAGAUCAGGUGUGGCCAAUUAGUAGGCGCAGCCAACACUCCUGAACAUACAGUUGUGGCCAAAAGUUUUGAGAAUGACACAAAUAUUAAUUUUAACAAAGUCUGCUGCCUCAGUUUGUAUGAUGGCAAUUUGCAUAUACUCCAGAAUGUUAUGAAGAGUGAUCAGAUGAAUUGCAAUUAAUUGCAAAGUCCCUCUUUGCCAUGCAAAUGAACUGAAUCCCCAAAAAACAUUUCCACUGCAUUUUAGCCCUGCCAUAAAAAGACCAGCUGACAUCAUGUCAGUGAUUCUCUUGUUAACACAGGUGUGAGUGUUGACGAGGACAAGGCUGGAGAGCACUCUGUCAUGCUGAUUGAGUUGGAAUUAUUGUUCUUCCUCUGUCAACCAUGGUUACCUGCAAGGAAACACGUGCCAUCAUCAUUGCUUUGCACAAAAAGGUCUUCACAGGCAAGGAUAUUGCUGCCAGUAAGAUUGCAUCUAAAUCAACCAUUUAUCGGAUCAUCAAGAACUUCAAGGAGAACAGUUCAAUUGUUGUGAAGAAGGCUUCAGGGCGCCCAAGAAAGUCCAGCAAGCGACAGGACCGUCUCCUAAAGUUGAUUCAGCUGCGGUAUCGGGGCACCACCAGUACAGAGCUUGCUCAGGAAUGGCAGCAGGCAGGUGUGAGGGCAACAGGCAGCUGUGAGUGCAUCUGCACGCACAGCGAAGGGCAGCAAAGAAGCCACUUCUCUCCAGGAAAAACAUCAGGGACAGACUGAUAUUCUACAAAAGGUACAGGGAUUGGACUGCUGAGGACUGGGGUAAAGUAAUUUUCUCUGAUGAAUCCCCUUUCUGAUUUAUUGGCGCAUCUGGAAAAAAGCUUGUCCGGAGAAGACAAGGUGAGCGCUACCAUCAGUCCUGUGUCAUGCCAACAGUAAAGCAUCCUGAGACCAUUCAUGUGUGGGGUUGCUUCAGCGCCAAGGGAGUGGGCUCACUCACAAUUUUUCCUCAGAACACAGCAAUGAAUAAAGAAUGGUACCAACACAUCCUCCGAGAGCAACUUCUCCAAACCGUGCAGGAACAGUUUGGUGAUGAACAAUGUCUUUUCCAACAUGAUGGAGCACUUUGCCAUGAGGCAAAAGUGAUAACUAAGUGGCUCGGGGAACAAAACAUGGAUAUUUUGGGUCCAUGGCCAGGAAAUUCCCCAGACCUUAAUCCCAUUGAGAACUUGUGAUCAAUCCUCAAGAGGCGGUUGGUCAAACAAAACCCACAAAUUCUUUAUUUUUUAUUUUUUAUAUUUUAUUUUUGCAUUUUCCAAUUAAGAACAUUCAAAACAAACGUAAAAAUAUAUUAGACAACGAUAGGACAAAGUGACAGUAACAGACGAGCGUAACAAAAAUAAAUAAAUAAUUAUAAUUAUAUAUACAAACAUACAAUAAGAAAAAAAAAAUAACGAGACAUUGGAUCACCUGCCGUAGGCUACAUAUUAUACAUUACGUGUGAAACAUUAUGUGAGGAUUAUAUAUAGAUUCAAUCAAUGUGAUGUGGGGGGAGAUUCUCCAUAUAGUCAAUAAAAGGUUGCCAAAUUCUGUAAAAUGUCUUUAACUUAUUCCUCCAGCAGUAAGUGAUUUUCUCCAAAGGGAUACAACUAUUAACUUCCGAUAGCCACAUUGCAACUGGCAGGGAGGAAUCCAAUUUCCAUUUCAAGGCAAUACAUUUCUUGGCAAUCGCUAGCAAUAUUUCUGUUAGCUUUAUAGUAUGGAUUUGCCUAAGAUUGGUGUUAGUAAAGUUACCCAGUAGACAGACCUCAGGGUCUAAAGGGAAUGCAACCCCGUGAACUGAGGAUAUGGUAUCGCAUACCCCCUGCCAGAAACCGUGUAGUUUUGAACGCUGCCAAGUGGAAUGGAGGAAUGUUCCUUCAUCUGAGCCACAUCUAAAACAUAGGGAGGAGAUAUCUGGGUUGAACUUGUGCAGUCUAGAUGGGGUGAUAUAGAGCUGAUGGAGGAAAUUAAACUGGAUCAGUCUGUAUCUGGAGUUCAAUGUGGAUGUAACACCAUCCCUGCAUAGGUCACUCCAUAGAUCCUCAUCAAGAUCAAUACCCAUAUUUUUUCCCAUCUAAGUCGGGGUUUAUCUAGCCCAGGCAGUGUUAGUCCUGACAUAAGAGCAUCGUAUACACAGGAAAUGGUCAAAACCCACAAAUUCUGACAAACUCCAAACAUUGAUUAUGCAAGAAUGGGCUGCCAUCAGUCAGGAUGUGGCCCAGAAGUUAAUUGACAGCAUGCCAGGGCGGAUUGCAGAGGUCUUGAAAAAGAAGGGUCAACGCUGCAAAUAUUGACUCUUUGCAUCAACUUCAUGUAAUUGUCAAUAAAAGCCUUUGACACGUAUGAAAUGCUUGUAAUUAUACUUCAGUAUUCCAUAGUAACAUCUGACAAAAAUAUCUAAAGACACUGAGGCAGCAGACUUUGUGAAAAUGAAUAUUGUGUCAUUCUCAACUUUUGGCCACAACUGUACUUAACAAGAUAGAGGACAGACGGAGUUUUGUUGAUGCUAAGAACAGAAUGUACAGUGCCUUGCGAAAGUAUUCGGCCCCCUUGAACUUGAACCUUUUGCCACAUUUCAGGCUUCAAACAUAAAGAUAUAAAACUGUAUUUUUUUGUGAAGAAUCAACAACAAGUUGGACACAAUCAUGAAGUGGAACGACAUUUAUUGGAUAUUUCAAACUUUUUUAACAAAUCAAAAACUGAAAAAUUGGGCGUGCAAAAUUAUUCAGCCCCCUUAAGUUAAUACUUUGUAGCGCCACCUUUUGCUGCGAUUACAGCUGUAAGUCGCUUGGGGUAUGUCUCUAUCAGUUUUGCACAUCGAGAGACUGAUAUUUUUUCCCAUUCCUCCUUGCAAAACAGCUCGAGCUCAGUGAGGUUGGAUGGAGAGCAUUUGUGAACAGCAGUUUUCAGUUCUUUCCACAGAUUCUCGAUUGGAUUCAGGUCUGGACUUUGACUUGGCCAUUCUAACACCUGGAUAUGUUUAUUUUUGAACCAUUCCAUUGUAG
rnacentral:lncRNA from 13 species